rnacentral:ribozyme from 1 species
GCAUGAUGGAAAAAAAAGAAAAAAGAAAAAAGAAAAAAG